ACUCCCUCUGACACCAAAAGCUUCCAAAAACCUAUCGCUAAGUAUUCCUUUCUCUAUACAAUUUCAAAUUUUGAAUUAGAAAUCAAAUCUGGCCACCCAUUUUCUCUCAAGAAACCAUUAAUCCUUCUCAGAGACAAAAUUCAGAUCUAUCUAGAGUAAUCCGCUCAACCAUUUAUACUUCUCAUAGACAAAAAUCCAGAUCCAUCAAGAGUAAUCCGCACACUUCCUCCCAUAUCUGUUGAGCUGCUUGAAAUUUCCGCCGCUGAUACUCCGGCGACCGGCGUUGUUGCUCGCUUCGCCGUUAGGUCUCACCAGGAGUUUUAUUUCAUCACCUAGCAGAAAAAAGAUAAAACACAGGAAAAAACCCUAUAGAAAAAAGUCGGAUGCAUGAGGGUAGCCAUGAAAGAACUGUUAUAUAAUGCUGGUGUCGAUAUAAGUUUCAAUGUGCCUGUAAAGAAGAGCCUGUACAUGAUGAGAGGAAAUCGUUUUUUUGUUAAUGUGGAGUGGUUUCUCUUCUCUACAGCCCUACUGGUUUUGACUUUGUAAAAGAACAGUUGCCUUUUCUACAACCCGUUUGAACCACAUUAAACACUACACAUUUAACCCGAAGUGGUUCUGACCCGUCACUUAACCAACCUUUUUUUUAAAAGCCAAAGGAGACCAUAUUAUUCCAACCAAACACCAACGCUGUAAAUUUAUCAACUGUAUGUUUUUAUAUGUUUCGAGGUCAUGCAAUUUAUGUGACUGAUUUCAUUUUGUCUGGUUUGUGGCCCGGUUCUGUCCAAAACUAGAACCUUGCUGAUUUUUUUUUUGUAUUUUUCAGAUUUGAUAUGAUGUUUUAUAUGUGCUGGUACAUUUGUUUUGUUUUUUAGUGGCAUUGGCUUGAAAAGGUUUGAGCUUCUAUCGGGGAGUAUAAUGGGAUUGUUUGAAUGGUCUGCUACCUUUGUGAAGAGAUGCAGGAAGAUUGUGAGUUAGUAGAUUAUGAGUAAGUAUGAGACUGAGAGUAUUCAUUCACCAGUUCUAUAUAGUUGAUUUUGAGCGAGGGUAUUACUUCUACUAUUCCAAAUACUUGACCAAAUACUUGAUUGUGAGUGAGUGUUGCAUUCCAUCUGUUCUAUAUGAUUGAUUUUGAGAGAGAGUUUUACUCCAUCCGUUCUAAAUUACAGGAGCACUUUCCUGGUCUAAUCAUUUAAGUACAUAGGAAAGUGCUUUUAUAAUUUGGAAGGGGAGGAGUAUUAAUUGAAGGGGAGACUCGAAGUUGAAAGAGGAGGCACUGGUAAUGUUUAGAAACAGGGAGACCGGAGACGGUUAUUCGCCUGAAUCAAAGCAGACGGUGUAAUAUUAAGUUUUUUGAUUUGAUUGAAUGCGGCUCUAAAAGUGUGGAAUGAAACUUGAAUGUUAUCAACAAUAUGAAGGUUGUUAUAGUUGGCAUUUGUAAGUUAGGGUGUACUAUUUUUCUGGUAAAGCUAAUAUUCAUGUUAUAUUUUUUCAAGUCAACAGCUUUUUGAUAAAAAAAUCAUUGCAACAACAAUGUUUUGUUUGUUUUUAUAAUGUCAGCUAUUGUUGAUACAGGUUUGGAUAUGAUUACCCUGGUGGUUAUGAUCGUGAUAUGGGUGGCAGGCCUGGCUUCCCCGAUGACAGGCUUCGUGGUAGGUAUGGCGGUCGUGGGUACCAAGGUGGUCUGUCUGUGUUUUUUGUUGUUUCCAAAAAAUCCAGCUUCUAUAAAAGACUUCAAAAGUGGAAAUUGAUCCCUUCCAUCCCGACACGGGCGCUACCUCACCGCCUCAGCCAUGUUCCGUGGUAAAAUAAGCACAAAGGAAGUGGAACCGUCUAUGACAUUCCACCGACUGGUCUGAAAAUGGCGUCCACGUUUAUUGGAAACUCAACGUCGAUCAGGAAAUG